GUGGGGAAUAUUGGACAAUGGGCGCAAGCCUGAUCCAGCCAUGCCGCGUGAGUGAUGAAGGCCCUAGGGUUGUAAAGCUCUUUCACCGAUGAAGAUAAUGUCGGUAGUCGGAGAAGAAGCCCCGGCUAACUUCGUGCCAGCAGCCGCGGUAAUACGAAGGGGGCUAGCGUUGUUCGGAAUUACUGGGCGCAAAGCGCACGUAGGCGGAUAUUUAAGUCAGGGGUGAAAUCCCAGUGCUCAACUCUGGAACUGCCUUUGAUACUGGGUAGCUCGAGUAUGGAAGAGGUGAGUGGAAUUGCGAGUGUAGAGGUGAAAUUCGUAGAUAUUCGGGGGAACACCAGUGGCGAAGGCGGCUCACUGGUCCAGUACUGACGCUGAGGUGCGAAAGCGUGGGGAGCAAACAGGAUUAGAAACCCCGGUAGUCC
rnacentral:rRNA from 1 species